rnacentral:rRNA from 1 species
UCCGUAGGAUGCAAGCGUUGUCCGGAUUUACUGGGCGUAAAGCGCGCGCAGGCGGCACUCUAAGUACGCUGUGAAAUAUCCCGGCUCAACCGGGAGGGUGCAGUGUAGACUAGGGAGCUAGAGGUCGGUAGAGGGGGGUGGAAUUGCUGGUGUAGCGGUGAAAUGCGUAGAGAUCAGCAGGAACACCCGUGGCGAAGGCGGCCCCCUGGGCCGUACCUGACGCUGAGGUGCGAAAGCGUGGGGAGCAAACAGG